rnacentral:lncRNA from 1 species
ACUUCAGAAUUUUCUAACUUGUCCCGAAGAGACAGAGAAGCUGUGCUAAAACUUUUUACUUCUUUUUUUCAACAAUCAGUUCAUAGUUUGUUUCUUAGGAGAGAAAAAAACUUUUGCAGGAUGUAGAGAAAAUGAAAAAGCACGGUAAAUUAAUCCUCAAUGGAAAAAAUAUGAAGGAGGCAGCUCAGUUCUUUUCUUUGGUAUUUUCAGUGAUGAUCAGCCACUGCUGCGGCCGCCACAGCCACUUGCCUCCUCUUGAGAGAAAGAGUAAGGAAGUUAGAGGAACAUGGAUUAAGGCAAAGUGAGGCAUUGCAACCUUUCUGCACAGUAAGCACUGCCAUGCAGAAUUCAGCUCACCACAAAGACCUGACAAUUCAAACAGUCUUACAGUUAAUAACACGUAGGAAGUUAAAAAUACUAUACAGAUGGCUAAUUGCCAAGGGAUAGAAAAUAGUUCCUAGAAUAGCCCCGCCUCGUACCAAUUAAAGGAGAAUUUCAGGGAGUGAGACAUAGGCAUUUGUGUUUUUAAAAACCCUCCAGGCAAUUCUGCUAUGCAGCCAAGUUUGAGAAGCAAUGCCUAAGUGAUUUGGGUUUUCAUUGUUAUCUACUCCAAGAUUGUUAUCCACUCUUUAAAUGAAAAGAAAUCUACAAUGCCUUGUGGAUUUACAGGAACAAGGAGGUUUGGCUAUCGUUACAUGAGAGAACGUUACCCAAGGACAAAGAAGUUUCACAGACUUCCCCUGGACCCUUGUUGGUGCCCAGAUGUCUGCGGUUCCCUGUCACUUAAAUAUAAAAGACAAGGCAAAGCUCGCAUAAUUCUAAGAUGGUUCUUUAGGACAUUGGUCUGCUUCUUCUUGGUUUCCUGGCUCCCCAAAAUAAAGUCGCUUUCCUUCCUCCACCUCCUUGUCUCUUGACUUAUUGACGUGAUGUGGCAAGAAGAACAAGUUUGGACUCAGUCACAAUCCAUCCCACACUUCCUCUUCUCCUUCCCUGCUUCCUUUGUCCCCAUGGCAUUUACCACCUUCUAGUGCAUUAAUUUUGUCACGGUGAUUAUUUAUGAUCCGU